UGGGCGUUAAGGGCUCCGCAGGCGGUUUUUUAAGUCUGAUUGUUGAAAGCCCCCGGCUCAACCGGGGAGGGUCAUUGGAAACUGGGGAACUUGAGUGCAGAAGAGGAGAGUGGAAUUCCACGUGUAGCGGUGAAAUGCGUAGAGAUGUGGAGGAACACCAGUGGCGAAGGCGACUCUCUGGUCUGUAACUGACGCUGAGGAGCGAAAGCGUGGGGAGCGAACAGGAUUAGAUACCCUGGUAGUCCACGCCGUAAACGAUGAGUGCUAAGUGUUAGGGGGUUUCCGCCCCUUAGUGCUGCAGCUAACGCAUUAAGCACUCCGCCUGGGGAGUACGGUCGCAAGACUGAAACUCAAAGGAAUUGACGGGGGCCCGCACAAGCGGUGGAGCAUGUGGUUUAAUUCGAAGCAACGCGAAGAACCUUACCAGGUCUUGACAUCCUCUGACAAUCCUAGAGAUAGGACGUCCCCUUCGGGGGCAGAGUGACAGGUGGUGCAUGGUUGUCGUCAGCUCGUGUCGUGAGAUGUUGGGUUAAGUCCCGCAACGAGCGCAACCCUUGAUCUUAGUUGCCAGCAUUCAGUUGGGCACUCUAAGGUGACUGCCGGUGACAAACCGGAGGAAGGUGGGGAUGACGUCAAAUCAUCAUGCCCCUUAUGACCUGGGCUACACACGUGCUACAAUGGACAGAACAAAGGGCAGCGAAACCGCGAGGUUAAGCCAAUCCCACAAAUCUGUUCU
rnacentral:rRNA from 1 species